UGUUGCUUAGCAACUCUGAGCUCUCACAGUGCUGUGAGGGGGCACAGCCAGCAGUGUACCAGCAGUGUGCCCUGCAUGCCAGCCAGCCCACAUGCAAACACUGCACUGUGUACAAGUGGUGCACCCCACACGCAAGUGUAGCCUACGUGUGUGUGGGCCUCAUGCACAAGUACGCCCCAUGUUAGUGUCCCCCAUGCACAGGUGUGCCCACAUGCGAGCAGUGCACCUGAAAGCACUUGCACAGGGCUGGUUCAGCUGGGGCAUGGCAGGCAGUUCAGCCUUGCCUAUGUGGAGCUAGUGAAGGGCUUGUUAUUGGCACCACAAGUCCUGGAGAGGGAGGCUGGAAGGUGCUAGAACAUUUCCUCAUCAGUCGCAGCAGCAGGAGGGUUCUUGGUCUUGCUUGUUCUGGGUCCUUGCUGUUGUGCCCUGAAAGUCUAUACUGUAUCCUACGGAUUGUUGCUGAACAUUUCAAGCCAUGCCUGCAAACCUGGUGCCUCCCCUCAGAACUGACAGCGGUUGAAAAGUCCAGGUGUACCUGGACAGAACUACGUGUUCCAAAGAAGAUGAGCUUUGUCAGAGGGGCUGUUCUGGCUAUGAGGAUCACUGUACCUCUCAAAUACAUCCAGUGUCAUGUACUUCUAUGAAUUCUUCACCUGGAGCAAGGACCAUGGGAGGCUGUGUGGGAAUUUACACUUAUCCAGCUGUCUAGUGAUGUCAGUGCACUCAUUUUUCUCUGUAAGGUUUUAUGGGGCUUGGCAGAUCUCUACUCAAAGUGGAAACUACAUGGCAUAGGAGCCACAAAAUAGAGGAGUAUACAACAGGAGACAAAGAGAUGAGAAAACUGCUUUUAAUCUUUUCAUGCUAAGGUAAAUUACCAGCUGAACCAAACACUCAUUUGAUCUACUUUAGUUCUUGUAAUGCUGUAUGAAAUGGGUGAGCUGGGUGAAUGCAAACUCCUCGCUAAAGAUAGCACAGAGGCACAAUUGCCACUGCUGGCAGAAAGGCAGAGGAUUCGAACUUUAACAGAGGAACACGCUUGAAUUUGGAUUUUAAAAUGGGCUAGGAUCUGUCAGAAGAACUUGUCUCCCUUCUCUUUAGAAAUCCUCAGAAGUAUUACUUGUCUUCCAUCUCUUCAUAAAUCCUCAGAAUUAGGUCUCUUGAAUGUAUAAACUUCGGAAUUUUGUCAUUGGGGUGUCCUGGUUUCAGUUAGAACAGAAUUAAUUUUCUUCCUAGUAGCUGAUGGAAUGCUGUGUUUUGGCUUAGGAUGAGAAGAGUGCUGAUAACACCCCGAUGUUUUAAUUGUUGCAGAGCAGUGCUUAUACCAAGCCAAGGACAUCUCAGCCUUUUGCUCUGUCCUGCCAACGGGCAGGCUGGGGGUGCAGUAAGAGCUUGGAGGGGACAGACCCAGGACAGGUGACCCAAACUAGCCAAAGGGGUAUUCCAUACCAUCUGACAUCAUGCUAAACAAUAUAUAGGGGUGGCUAGCCGGGGGGAGGGGGCCGGACUGCUCGGAGUUAGGCUGGGCAUCGGUCAGCGGGUGGUGAGCAAUUGCAUUGUGCAUCACUUGUUUGUACAUAUUAGUAGUAGUAGUACUAUUAUCAUUGUAUUAUUAUUAUUAUUAUUGUUAUUGUUAUUAUUAUUUUU
rnacentral:lncRNA from 1 species